rnacentral:misc_RNA from 1 species
AGGGUGGAGAAGCAGAGUUCAUCGGAAAAAGAUGCUUCAGAUCCGUCUUAGCAAGCCAGCAAAUGAGAGUGGCGGGUUGCCUCCUGAAACUGUUACAGUUGCUUGUCCUGACCAUCUUGUCAUAGCUGAUCUUCCAGUAGCCAAGAGCCUUGGUACAGUAAAUCCUGCAUCUCUGCCCAAAACUGUUGGCCGGAGGUCCCGGCGACAGCUUGCUGAGCGAGUACAUUUUUGCAUCUGCUGUGACUUUCCAAUUGCUGUUUAUGGACGUCUGAGUCCAUGUGAACAUAUCUUCUGCUUAGAUUGUGCCAGGACCGACUCUGUCUGCUACCUCUGUGAUGAACGCAUUCAGAAGAUCCAGACAAUAAAAAUGUUGGAAGGGGUCUACAUCUGUGCAGCUCCGCAUUGUUUCAAGUCCUUUCUGAAGGAGACUGAGUUUGAAUCUCAUAUUCAUGAGACUCACAGUGAUCUUCUUCGUUUAGAGAAUGAUGGGAACAU